AUGGUAGGAUAGAGGCCUACCAUGGUGGUAACGGGUAACGGGGUGUUAGGGCACGACACCGGAGAGGGAGCCUGAGAAACGGCUACCACAUCCAAGGAAGGCAGCAGGCGCGCAAAUUACCCAAUCCCGACACGGGGAGGUAGUGACAAUAAAUAACAAUACAGGGCUCUUUUGGGUCUUGUAAUUGGAAUGAGUACAAUUUAAAUCUCUUAACGAGGAACAAUUGGAGGGCAAGUCUGGUGCCAGCAGCCGCGGUAAUUCCAGCUCCAAUAGCGUAUAUNAAAGUUGUUGCAGUUAAAAAGCUCGUAGUUGAAUUUCGGGAUCAAUAUGUCGGUCGUGCCUUCGGUACGUACUGGUAUCAUUGGUCUCUCCUUUCUGACGAACCAUGAUGUCAUUAAUUUGGUGUUAUGGGGAGUUAGGACUGUUACUUUGAAAAAAUUAGAGCGUUUAAAGCAGGCUUUAGCUUGAAUACAUUAGCAUGGAAUAAUGAAAUAGGACGUUCGAACCUAUNUUGUUGGUUUCUAGGAUCAACGUAAUGAUUAAUAGGGAUAGUUGGGGGCAUUAGUAUUCAAUUGUCAGAGGUGAAAUUCUUGGAUUUAUUGAAGACUAACUACUGCGAAAGCAUUUGCCAAGGAUGUUUUCAUUAAUCAAGAACGAAAGUUAGGGGAUCGAAGACGAUCAGAUACCGUCGUAGUCUUAACCAUAAACUAUGCCGACUAGGGAUCGGAUGAUGUUAAUUUUUUAAUGACUCANUCGGCGCCUUACGGGAAACCAAAGUGUUUGGG
rnacentral:rRNA from 1 species